rnacentral:sRNA from 1 species
ACAUUCCUGUUGUUGAAGCCACCAGUCUGUGGUAUUUUAUGGCAGCCCAAGCUAAGACAGUGAGGAUUAAAGCCUGUGGUUUCCACAGAAGCACCACCUAUCAUAUUUGCCACACCAACUAAACUGACCUCCGAUUCCACAGCGUAUGAUUAUGCUGGGAAAAACAAAGUUCCAGAGCUACAAAAGUUUUUCCAGAAAGCUGAUGGUGUGCCCGUCUACCUGAAACGAGGCCUGCCUGACCAAAUGCUUUACCGGACCACCAUGGCGCUGACUGUGGGAGGGACCAUCUACUGCCUGAUCGCCCUCUACAUGGCUUCGCAGCCUAAAAACAAAUGAGUUAGGCUGCAGAGGACUGGUUUGUUUUUUGGCAUAAACCCUUUGAAUUUCCUUUUUCAUUGUUAAAUUAAAAUUUUUUUUUUACUUGGAUGGCUUAACAUUUUUGCAAGAAAAAUAGGAAGAUAUGAAGACAAUGUUUUGGUUUGUUUAUGAAAUGCAUAUGGCUUGUCAGAGCUCAUUCGACAGUUAAAGCCAUUGUUUAAAGAAAUGGUGCUUUGCUCUGUGUUUGUGCUCCUGAUUUCCCUGGAGGUUCUGGAUGAAGGCUGAACACAGGCUU